GAUGAACGCUAGCGGCAGGCCUAAUACAUGCAAGGCGAAGGGGCAGCAAUGUCACUGUCGUACGGGUGCGUAACGCGUAUGCAACCUACCUAUCACAGGGGAAUAGCCUUUGGAAACAGGGAUUAAUACCGCAUAAAGCAGGGACACCGCAUGGUGAUAUUGCUAAAGAUUUAUCGGUGAUAGAUGGGCAUGCGUCUGAUUAGUUAGUUGGCAGGGUAACGGCCUACCAAGACGAUGAUCAGUAGGGGGCGUCAGAGCGUGGUCCCCCACACUGGCACUGAGAUACGGGCCAGACUCCUACGGGAGGCAGCAGUAGGGAAUAUUGGGCAAUGGAUGCAAGUCUGACCCAGCCAUGCCGCGUGCAGGAAGAAGGUCCUCUGGAUUGUAAACUGCUUUUAUCGGGAAGAAUAGUUUUACUUGCGAGGGAAUGGUGACGGUACCCGAUGAAUAAGCCACGGCUAACUACGUGCCAGCAGCCG
rnacentral:rRNA from 1 species